rnacentral:rRNA from 1 species
UACGAAGGGGACUAGCGUUGUUCGGAAUCACUGGGCGUAAAGCGCACGUAGGCGGAUAUGUCAGUCAGGGGGUGAAAUCCCGGGGGCUCAACCUCGGAACUGCCUUUGAUACAGCAUAUCUUGAGUCCGAUAGAGGUGGGUGGAAUUCCUAGUGUAGAGGUGAAAUUCGUAGAUAUUAGGAAGAACACCCGUGGCGAAGGCGGCUCUCUGGGACGGUACUGACGCUGAGACGCGAAAGCGUGGGGAGCGAACAGG